rnacentral:lncRNA from 9 species
UGGCUUAGCAGAAAUGAGUCUGACUAGUAUCCAUGAGGAUGCAGGUUCAGUCCCUGGCCUUGCUCGUUGGGUUAAGGAUCUGGCAUUGCUGUGAUCUGUGGUGUAGGUCACAGAUGAGGCUUGGAUCUCACCUUGCUGUGGCUGUGGUGUAGGCUGGCAGCUACAGCUCUCAUUCGACCCCUAGCACGGGAACCUCCAUAUGCUGCAGUACGGCCCUAAAAAGACCAAAAAAAAAAAAAAAGAUUUCAAGAUAUGAAUUUGGGGGAACACAAACAUUCAGUCCAAAAUACAUGAGAAGGCCUUUCAUUUGUUGAUUUAUCCAAGGCAUAUCUGAAGAGUUAAAUCAAAAAUGCAUUUAGCCAGGGAAAAGUUUAGAUGCGGGCACAGUAAUUGCAGUGGGUCUUGGGUCUUGGAGAUUGAUCCUCAAAAUAACUUGACUGGGAAGAAGCAAUGAGAUGAUGUGAUUAUACAAAGAUGUGCUUCACAGCUAUGGAAGCUGUAGUCAUUCGUCAUAGAGCGCCCUAAGACACUCUUCUGGCUUUGUUGCCAGAAGAAACAGUGCAUCUUGUAAAACAUCCAACUUAGUCAUUUGAGAAAAAUUGUAGAAGUAGUGGUUGUUCCUCAUCUUCAAUACGAGUAUGAAUGUGCAUGUGCUUACUGUUUAAUUUUUUGUCUACCCUUCGGCGUAAGAGUUUCUGAAAGUGUUUCCUUUGCCUUCAUUUCUAUAACGUUUAUUCCUUAGGGGAUAGAGUCUCAUACUUCUUCUCCCUUUUCUUGUAAGAAGCAUCUCUUAUUCUCCCUUCCCAUUUCCCUUGUGAAAAAAGCUCCAAAUUCUUAUUGAUCAUCCCUUUCUCGUAUUUGUCGUGUAGUUCCUGAAAAUGUAUGGUAGACCCCAUGAAGAUGGGAAAAAUUAGAUGCUAACUAAUUAGUUGUUUAACUUCCCUCACACAAGUGGUAUCCAUUUGUAUCUCAGAAGAAACUCCGAAUUGAUGUUUCCGAUCUUAUAAUUCCUCAUUUUACUUGGAAAAAGUGGCUGUUUCCCUGUGAAGAAUCCCUGGAGCUCCCCCCUGGAGGUUUUCCAUAGAUUGGGCCAGCCGUCCCAACAUGAUCGAACCUAACCCAGAAUCUUCUUGGGCCUACCCUGAUCUCUAGUAUAAUACUGGGAGCUCCAAAUCUAUCUCUAGAAUUUGCAAAGUAGCACUAUCGCAUAUUCUUUAUUCUUUAUUUAAGGGCUUAGAGGUAAUUGAGCAUAGUAUGGAUCCUCUGGUAUCAGAGCUACCUCUGUAUUCUGUAAAUCGUUUACCAGCUUAGAGCCUUCUGGACAGUUCUAGAUCAAAGAGCAGGCCUUCUGAGCCCACGCCCCUGGAAGCAGAUGUGGAGGGAGCUGAAAAGUCCUGAGCUCUGAGUAAUCCUAUUUUUGGCACUGGCCAGAUGAGUAUCAUCAGCCUGUUCCAGAUGCCCUUCUUGCUCCCAUCUGUUCCCCAUAACCUGCUGGAGAUAAGGAAUGUGUUGUGUGGCUUGUCAGUUGUCUACUGGAUAAUGAUGGGCUUAAAAAGGACACAAUGACUCAGAAUUUAGAGGACUCCCCCUCUGGUUCCAGGCCCUGGCAUAUCAGUUGACUGCCACUGUUGGAUGAGAGAAAAACCAACAAGUUUUAUCUGGAGGAAAUACCACGUCUGGGUGGUCUCAGAGAAAUGAGACAGCCCUGGGGAAAAGCUGUGAUGUUAAGUAUACACACAUCCCGAAACGCUGGCUAACACCCAGAGCGUUUCUUCUCCUAGGUUCCCUCAGGUCCCCUCCAAUCAGCCACCACCCCCGUUGGCACUGGCAGACUCUUUCUGAUGUCUCUCGCUAUAGACUACGUUUUCCCUUGUUGUUGAAGUUCAUCUAAAUGGGAUUACAGAGUGUGUACUUUCUCAUGUGUGACUUCCUUGACACACGGUUUUAUGUUUUCAUAUAUAUCAUUGUUCACUCUUCCCUCUUGCUAGGUAGUUUUCUGUUGUGCGAAUAGAUCCAACCCUUUGAUUUAUUUUCCUGGUGACAGACAUUUGGAUUAUUUUCACCUUUUUGAUUGUUACAAGUAUUCAGCUAUUGUGAAUGAGUUCUCUCUCACUCUCAUUCCUUUUUGGAUUUAGGCCUACUUGCUGGACCAUACAGUAGGCAUAUGUUUACCUUUGUAAGAAACUUCCAAGCAAUUUUCCAAAUAGUUAUACCAUUUCAUACUCCAUCCCGCAGUGGAUGGGAGUUCCAGGUGCUCCAGUUCAUCCUUAACAAUUGUAUAUUGUUGGUGUUUCUAAUUUUAACCAUUUUAUUGGAUAGGAAGUAGUAAUCUCUUUGUGAUUUUUAAUUUCCAUUUCCAUUUCCUUAGUGACUUACAUGUUCUCAUUGGUCAUUUGUGUACUUUCCUUUUCAAAUUAUCUGUUCAACCUUUUAUCUGUUUAUAUUUUCUCUUGGCCAUUUAAAAAUUGGAUUAUUUGUCUUAUUAUUAUUGAUAGGUAGGAGUUUUUUUUAAUCUGUGUACACUCAAUAAAAUUAUUUUGUCAGAAUCUCUUAUAUAUUUUUUAUAUAAUUUUUUUUAUUUUCCCACUGUACAGCAAGGGGGUCAGGCUAUCCUUACAUGUAUACAUUACAAUUACAUUUUUCCCCCCACCCUUUGUUCUGUUGCAACAUGAGUAUCUAGACAAAGUUCUCAAUGCUAUUCAGCAGGAUCUCCUUGUAAAUCUAUUCUAAGUUGUGUCUGAUAAGCCCAAGCUCCCGAUCCCUCCCACUCCCUCCCCCUCCCAUCAGGCAGCCACAAGUCUCUUCUCCAAGUCCAUGAUUUUCUUUUCUGAGGAGAUGUUCAUUUGUGCUGGAUAUUAGAUUCCAGUUAUAAGUGAUAUCAUAUGGUAUUUGCCUUUGUCUUUCUGGCUCAUUUCACUCAGGAUGAGAUUCUCCAGUUCCAUCCAUGUUGCUGCAAAUGGCAUGAUGUCAUUCUUUUUUAUGGCUGAGUAGUAUUCCAUUGUGUGUAUAUACCACAUCUUCCGAAUCCAAUCAUCUGUUGAUGGACAUUUGGGUUGUUUCCAUGUCCUGGCUAUUGUGAAUAGUGCUGCAAUGAACAUGCGGGUGCAUGUGUCUCUUUUAAGUAGAGUUUUGUCCGGGUAGAUGCCCAAGAGUGGGAUUGUGGGGUCAUAUGGAAGUUCUAUGUAUAGAUUUCUAAGGUAUCUCCAAACUGUUCUCCAUAGUGGCUGUACCAGUUUACAUUCCCACCAACAGUGCAGGAGGGUUCCUUUUUCUCCACACCCCCUCCAACGCUUGUUAUUUGUGGAUUUAUUAAUGAUGGCCAUUCUGACUGGUGUGAGGUGGUAUCUCAUGGUAGUUUUGAUUUGCAUUUCUCUUGUAAUCAGUGAUGUUGAGCAUUUUCUCAUGUGUUUGCUGGCCAUCUGUGUAUCUUCUUUGGAGAAAUGUCUAUUCAGGUCUUUGCCCAUUUUUCCAUUGGGUGAUUGGUUUUUUUGCUGUUGGGUUGUAUAAGUUGUUUAUAUAUUCUAGAGAUUAAGCCCUUGACAGUUGCAUCAUUUGAAACUGUUUUCUCCCAUUCUGUAAGUUGUCUUUUUGUUUCCUUUUGGGUUUCCUUUGCUGUGCAAAAGCUUUUCAGUUUGAUGAGGUCCCAUGGGUUUAUUUUUGCUCUAAUUUCUAUUGCUUUGGGAGACUGACCUGAGAAAAUAUUCAUGAGGUUGAUGUCAGAGAGUGUUUUGCCUAUGUUUUCUUCUAGGAGUUUGAUGGUGUCCUGUCGUAUAUUUAAGUCUUUCAGCCAUUUGGAGUUUAUUUUUGUGCAUGGUGUGAGGGUGUGUUCUAGUUUCUUUGCUUUGCAUGCAGCUGUCCGGGUUUCCCAGCAAUGCUUGCUGAAUAGACUUUCUUUUUCCCAUUUUAUGUUCUUGCCUCCCUUGUCAAAGAUUAAUUGACCAUAGGUGUCAGGGUUUAUUUCCGGAUUCUCUAUUCUGUUCCAUUGGUCUGUCUGUCUGUUUUGAUACCAGUACCACACUGUUUUGAUGACUGUGGCUUUGUAGUGUUUUUUUUUUUUUUUUUUUUUUUUUUAAUUUUCCCACUGUACAGCAAGGGGGUCAGGUUAUCCUUACAUGUAUACAUUUGUAGUAUUUCUUGAAGUCUGGGAGACUUAUGCCUCCUGCUUGGUUUUUGUUUCUCAGGAUUGCUUUGGCGAUUCUGGGUCUUUUGUGGUUCCACAUAAAUGUUUGGAUUGUUUGUUCUAGUUCUGUGAAAAAUGUCAUGGGUAAUUUGAUAGGGAUUGCAUUGAAUCUGUAGAUUGCUUUGGGUAGGAUGGCCAUUUUUACAAUAUUGAUUUUUCCAAUCCAGGAACAUGGAAUAUCUUUCCAUUUCUUUACAUCUUCUUUGAUUUCUUUGAUUAAAGUUUUAUAGUUCUCGGCAUAUAGGUCCUUUACCUCCUUGGUCAGGUGUAUUCCGAGGUAUUUGAUUUUGUGAGGUGCAAUUUUAAAAGGUAUCGUAUUUUUGUAUUCCUUUUCUAAUAUUUCAUUGCUGGUAUACAGAAAUGCAACUGGCUUCUGAAUGUUAAUCUUAUAUCCUGCUACUUUGCUGAAUUUAUUAAUCAGUUCAAGUAGUUUUGGGGUUGAGUCCUUAGGGUUUUCUAUGUAUAGUAUCAUGUCAUCUGCAUACAGUAAAGUUUUAAUUUUUAAUUAACCUAAUUAGUCAGAAUUUCCCCAUAUAUUAUCAGUCCUUUUCCUAAAUAAUCUGCUUUCUCAAGAUUGUAAAGAUACCUUCUGUGUUUUUUUUUUCCUUUUUUCUUUUAAUUUAUUUAUUUAUUUAGGGGCCUCACCCACAGUGCAUGGAAAUUCCUAGGCCAGGGAUCCAACUGUCACUAUAACAGUGACUUGAGCUGCAGAAGGGACAGUGCCAGACCCUUAACCCACUGAGCCACCAGGGAACUCCCUUGUGUUUUCUUUUAGAAAGCCUUACAGUUUCAGCUUUUAUGCUCUGGUCCGUGAUCCAUCUCAGAUUAAUUUUUGUCUAUUGGGUAAUUUAGAGGUUAAAACUCAUUUUUUUCUUUUUUUGCACAUGUUUUCCCAGUUGUCCCAGCAUAAUUUGUUGAAAAGAUUUUUCCUUCGUCAUUGAAUUGCUUUGGCACCUUUAUUGAAAAUCAGUUAACCACAUAUGUAUGGGUCUAUCUCAAGGGAACCCUAAAGAAUGUAUGGACCACAUGGGUCAUGCACUUAAGUCUGGAAAUAACACUUCACACUGGUCAACCUUAAUAAGCCUCAAGUGACUGGCGGUCUUGAACUUACAUAUCAUGAAACAUUUGUGUCAAAAGUCACUAACAAACUCUGUGGGGACUGUUUUUUGCUUGUUUUAUAAAGCUAACCUAGCUGAGGCCUCUAGUAGUUUCAGAAUUCCCACAUUAAAUGUCAGGUUCUUAUCUCCACAGAAACGUACCAUCAGAUUUGUGUGAUCUGACCUCAGCCUGCAGGCAGCUUCAAAGAGAACUGUAUUUCAACUUAGGUUUUCUUAUUUGGAAACUUGGAUACGCAUGGAUUCAAAAUGACUGAUUUGGAACUCAUUAUAAUUAAGCGUGGGCUCCACCAAAAAAAUACUACUCUUAAUAUUUUUUUGUAAUGUAAAGAAACUUGUGAAGAAAACUUGUUUUACUAACUUGCAUGUAUUGUAUGCAGAAAUAGGUUUACUGCCUUUAAAAGCAAGUCUUGUCUAUGAAUAGAAUCUCAACUUGGAAAGUUUUUUGUAAACAGUUUUACUUAGCAUUUUUACUUGAAUAUAACUAAGAAUCAUCUUCUUUUAAGAGUCCUUGAUUUGAAAACCGAAGGAGGAAUAGCGUGAGAAAAAACACCAAGAUUAUUCUGUUAGAGGGAUAGAAUAAAAGGCAAUUGCCUCUCUUUGACAUCCUAAACUUCUGAGUUUUAGAAUUCGUGUUUUCCUGGUGCAGCCUUGCAGGGAAGUGUUAAGCGCAGAACUCUGACCUUGGAUGAGGUGGGUUGGGAUGCAAGCUCUGCUAGUCCCCACGAGCACCGGCCUCUGUGCUUCUCUUCAGGUUCAGAGGAGGCAGGAGGCUGAGAGCUGGGCCUGGGUCAGAGUGAGCACCAGGGGACUGUAGGCCAGUAGUGGUACUACUUUCAUAAUAAAAGCACACAGGAAAAGGAAAUCUUUUUAAAAAGAAGAAACUAAAAAGCAGAAAUCCAUCACUGUCCUAUGAUUCAAAUAUCUCACUGUUUGUAGCUGACUCCCCAGUUGGUUGAGCUGGUCCUGUUUUACUGUUAGUUUCCACUCUCUCCCCAAGGGAGGCAGAAUUAAAGUUGUUUUUGUUUUGUUUUUUUGAGCUCCUUAGGAGGUGUAUGCCCUGAAAAUACAAGAAGUGCUUCAUAUUAAUUACUAGAAUUAUUUUCGUUGCUACAGAAAGACUUUACAAGGAAAGAGACUCUUUGAGGUCGAAUCUUCCUCUCCUCCUACUUUGCUCUGAGCUCAAGUAAAACACAACAGUUGCUCACUUGAAAUACCAUCUCCCCUAACCUGUGUUUGGACUUGUACCGUUGUGCUCAGCUCCUGGCCCUUGUUUUUGCUUUCUCUAGCAAUUUCCUGGCCAGAGCAGGAACUAGAGCAGAGUCUGGGAGAAGUGACCAUGCCAGGACGGUUUUCCCACCUGUGCUUCCCUGCACGACUGAAAGGAGGGGUGUGUCCGACCCUCGCUGCAGUCCGUGUGCCGCAAAGCAGAAUCCAGCUCCGACCCACCACGAAGGUUGUUAAUGCGCUAUUAAUGGUGUUGAAAUAUGAUGUUUUGGUUACAUGUACAAGCUGAGUUUGAAUAUGGAUGAAGUGUGAGCUUUCCACACGUGGUCACAGAGCAGCCAUCAUCCUCCGUGGGCAGCACCUGUCUUUGCUGUCCUGUGUGUGGUUAAGGCCCAAGGAAGAGUGGUGUGAUUGCAGCUGACUUACUUGAUCUUACUCUGUUGAGGACGGACUUCUCGUGAGGUCGGCUCAUGUAGUCGCUCCUGUAAUCGGCUUUUUGUUUAUGUUCUCAGUGCUGUUCGGCAAAUGCUGCAGGGACAUAGAGCACUGGCACGUAGCUGUCAGGAUUUGCCAUCUGGGAGGUGAUGUCCCGCCGAGCGCCCUGCUCCCUCCUGUCCCAGGCCUCUGUCACCUCCCAGAAGCUCCACACCCGCCCCUCGGUUUUCACUUCUCAGUCUCUGUAGCUGCCACCCCGCCUGUGCACAGAGCAGACAGACCCCCAGAAGUGAGCUCACUCGGGUUCUGGCCCGAGUCAACACUUACCUGCACCUGCCUUGUUUUCCUGGCCUCCUGUUCCAGUGGGAAGGAUCCUUUCCCCCAUCUGAGACCCUGGACCCCAUCCCCUCUCACCUCCUCAGAGACUUUCUUUCUCUGCCCAUUACCUGCCAUUCGCCAUUGACUCUCUCUUGCGAGCAUGUAAACCUACUCAAGUCUUACAAGUUAAAAACAAAACCGGGAGUUCCUGUUGUAGCUCAGUGGUAACAAAUGCAACUAGUAUCCAUGAGGACACGUGUUCGAUCUCUGGCCUCACGCAGUGGGUUAAGGAUCUGGCGUUGCCAUGAGCUAUAGUGUAGCACAGAUGUGGCUCAGAUCUGGCCUUGCUGCAGCUGUGGUGUAGGCCGGCAGCUGCAGCUCUGAUUCAGCCCCUCGCCUGGGAACUUCCAUGUGUCACAGG